GCCACGGCUAACUACGUGCCAGCAGCCGCGGUAAUACGUAGGUGGCAAGCGUUGUCCGGAAUUAUUGGGCGUAAAGCGCGCGCAGGUGGUUUCUUAAGUCUGAUGUGAAAGCCCACGGCUCAACCGUGGAAGGUCAUUGGAAACUGGGAGACUUGAGUGCAGAAGAGGAAAGUGGAAUUCCAAGUGUAGCGGUGAAAUGCGUAGAGAUUUGGAGGAACACCAGUGGCGAAGGCGACUUUCUGGUCUGUAACUGACACUGAGGCGCGAAAGCGUGGGGAGCAAACAGGAUUAGAUACCCUGGUAGUCCACGCCGUAAACGAUGAGUGCUAAGUGUUAGGGGGUUUCCGCCCCUUAGUGCUGCAGCUAACGCAUUAAGCACUCCGCCUGGGGAGUACGGUCGCA
rnacentral:rRNA from 1 species